AUAGGAAAGGGUACUGAUGAGAGGAAUAGCCAGCAGGCAGGGGAAGCUGGGCCAGCACACAGUGCGAUGGCAGGUUUCUGAUUUACCACAGCAGGCUUCAUCUUUGAAACCUCCUACUAGAGAUGCGCUAUGCUAUACGUUAUGACGACAAUCAGUUUUUCGACUGACGACAAUCAUUGCGUGGGUCAGACAAAAAAGCUAAACAGCCCUUUCUUCUUGUUAUGUAAUAGCAUAAAACACAGCAAGCUGAGGAGACUUUGACUUUGUGCAUUGCAAAUAUGAUGACGACCAGCUAGCACAUUGUAAAUUACCAGGAAGAACAGCUAUGUCUAAAUGAAUGUAUACCUAUUUUAAUCUUAGAAAUAGCAUGUAAAGGGUGCAUUGUGUGCAUUUGCACGAAACUCGGAUGCGCGCCGAGGAUUAAUUUACCGGUGGCCAAUUUGCGUCGCCUUCUGAAGAGGUUUAUCGCUGCACUGGUGUGAUACCUUCAGAAUUUUGUCCGAAAGGAUAUGCCGGCACAGUGUCAUCAUCAAUAACCAAGGUGGGAUAGUCUACAGGGAAGAAUAAUUUUGGAACCACAUUUUGGCCUGUAUUGAAUAUAUUAAUUAUAUAGAAGCAGACGAUAGGCAUAAACAAUGGCGGGCCCGGAGCAGUCCCAGGGGCAGUCCCAGCAGGUAGAGGAAAAAGCUGAACAUAUAGACGACGCUGAGCUCGCUCUUCAAGGUAUCAACAUGCUUCUCAACAACGGAUUCAAGGAAAGCAACGAGCUUUUCAGAAAAUAUAGGACUCACAGUCCACUGAUGAGCUUUGGGGCCAGUUUUGUCAGCUUCCUGAAUGCCAUGAUGACCUUUGAGGAGGAGAAGAUGCAGACGGCGUGUGACGACCUGAGAACCACGGAGAAGCUGUGUGAGAGUGACAACGCUGGCGUCAUAGAGACAAUCAGGAACAAAAUCAAGAAGAGCUUGGAACCCCAGAGGUCAGCGGUCGUGGUUGUGGACCGCCUGCAGCGACAGAUCAUUGUGGCCGACUGCCAGGUCUACCUUGCUGUGCUUUCCUUCGUCAAGCAGGAGCUCUCAUCAUACAUCAAGGGAGGCUGGAUCCUCCGUAAGGCCUGGAAGAUGUACAAUAAGUGCCACAGUGACAUCAGUCAGCUGCAGGAGACCUGUGUGAGGCGCUUUCCCUCCCAUGAGGAGGAUCUGUCCUCAGACCAGGCCAAUCACAACUCCCCAGUGGAGGGCGCUGUGACUGAAGAGGCCCUGGACCGGCUCAAGGGCUCCGUCAGCUUCGGCUACGGCCUCUUUCACCUCUGCAUCUCCAUGGUACCACCACACCUACUCAAGAUCAUCAACCUGCUGGGUUUCCCUGGUGACCGUCUCCAGGGUUUGUCCUCCCUCAUGUAUGCCAGUGAGAGUAAGGACAUGAAGGCCCCACUAGCUACGUUGGCCCUCCUGUGGUACCACACAGUAGUGAUGCCCUUUUUUGCACUGGAUGGUUCUGACACUCAGGCAGGCCUGGAGGAAGCCAAGGCCAUUCUGCAGAGGAAGGCUGUGGUCUACCCCAAUUCCUCCCUCUUCAUGUUCUUUAAAGGACGUGUUCAGAGGUUAGAGUGCCAAAUUAACAGUGCGCUGGUGUCCUUCCAUGAUGCACUAGAGCUGGCAUCAGACCAAAGAGAGAUCCAGCACGUGUGUCUCUAUGAAAUCGGCUGGUGCAGUAUGAUAGAGAUGAACUUUGAGGAUGCAUUCAGGUCAUUUGAGAGGCUGAAGAAUGAGUCCCGGUGGUCACAGUGUUACUAUGCCUACCUGACUGGAGUAUGUCAGGGAGCUGCAGGGGACUUGGAUGGUGCCAAGUGUGUCUUCAAAGAUGUCCAGAAACUGUUCAAGAGGAAGAACAACCAGAUUGAGCAGUUUGCCCUCAAGCGGGCGGAGAGACUGAGGAAGAUGUCUCCCACCAGAGAACUGUGCAUUCUGGGAGUCAUAGAGGUGCUGUACCUGUGGAAGGCUCUGCCCAACUGCUCCUCCUCCAAACUGCAGCUCAUGAAUCAGGUGUUACAGAGUGUGGAUGACGCAUCGUGCAGGGGUCUGAAAAACCUCCUUCUUGGUUCCAUUCACAAAUGCCAUGGAAAUAAUAAAGAUGCUAUCCAGUCGUUCCAGCUGGCAGCCAGAGAUGAGUUUGGUCGACAGACCAACUCUUAUGUGCAGCCAUACUCCUGCUAUGAGCUUGGAUGUGUCCUGCUUGCCAAGCCAGAGACGGUGGGAAAAGGGAGAGCUUUUCUGCUUCAGUCAAAGGAGGAUUAUGCAGGCUAUGACUUUGAGAACAGACUUCACGUGCGCAUACACUCAGCCAUGGCCUCGCUGAAGGAAGUGGUACCUCAAAGACCCGCCGACCACUGAUGUAAUGAUAACUCAGCCUCCAGCUGUGCAUUUGAUGAUACGGGAAGCAUGGCUUUUACUAUACAUUGAAAGCCAUUCAAAACCACAAGAAUUUGGCAGUACAUGCAACCGGCCUCACAACCGCAGACCCUGUGUAACCACGCCAGCCCAGGACCUCCACAUCCGGCUUCUUCACGUGCGGGAUCGUCUGAGGAGGGGGAUGGGGGGUGCUGAGGAGUAUUUGUCUCUGUAAUAUAGCCUUAAUGUGUGGGGAAAAAACUAAUUCUGAAUGGCUGGGCCUGGCUUCCCAGUGGGUGGACCUGGCUCCCAAGUGGAUGGGCCUAUGCCCUCCCAGGCCCACCCAUGGCUGUGCCCCUGCCCAAUCGUGAAAUCCAUAGAUUGGGGCCUAUUGAAUUUAUUUCAAUUGAGUGAUUUCCUUCUAUGAACUGUAACUCAGUAAAAUCUUUGAAAUUGUUAAAUGUUGCGUUUAUGUUUCUGUUCAGUAUACAUGAAGGGGGAUAUAAACGGUCUUUGCAUCUGGUGCUUGUCAAAUGUUGAAUAACUCUUUGCCACCCUUCAUAUAGCAUGGUAUAUUAUUAUGAAUGAUUUCUGAAACAUCUAUAUAGGCCAUAUGGUAAAGGGCUUGUGAAGGCUUCAACAUGCUAUGUUUCCUUUAAAGUUGGACUCUUUUUUUCAUGUUCAAGGUUGUUUUUGAACAUUGUUUUAUCUACACUAAAGUCAGUUACUGACCUCCCAUCUUUUCCUGUGAUUGUGUAAAGGGAUGUAAGAUGUGGUGUGAUGUAUACAUUUUGACUACUGAGUGUGUGACCAGUAAGUGCUGGUACAAAGUAAGUUCACAGCUGUAAGAGAAAAGUAUAUUAGAAUGACAUGUAAUAAUGAGUUAAAUGUCAUAUGUAUACCACUUUGUUGUGGAGGAUUAUGUGGAUGGAGAUGGUUACAUUGUAACAGGAAGUUGUUCCUAUGUGGUGUCAGAGCUCUACAUACUGUUCAAUAAAGUGUUGUCAAUUAAUCCUG